UCUAUGUUUCAUCCUCCCAAUUCUCACUCUUGGAGGAGACUUAGAAAUGGAGGUAUUACAUUUCAGAGAGGGAGACCAAAUGGAUAGAAAAUUAGGAAAAAGUGAUUCGAGUUCCGAGCUGGUACAUCAAUUUGGUGAUGAAAUUUCACAUUUAACUAUCGAAAUUGGAGGUAUAGAUUGUAUUACAAAGAAUUCAAUGAGAAUACAAAAAGGAUCUGUGAGCAAACUUCUCAAAGGUACGACACAGUGAUAUCCAUAGUCUUUCAGAUCGUUGGAUAUGAUUAAACUACGAAAAAUGAAGGGAUGACAAUGGAGUGGGGAUGGAGCGGGUUUAAAUCAUAUACGGGACGGAUUAGAAUAAUACUUUAGAAAUUUUAUGCGGAUGGUUGCGGAUUAC